rnacentral:tmRNA from 2 species
GGGGCUGAUUCUGGAUUCGACGGGAUUUGCGAAACCCAAGGUGCAUGCCGAGGGGCGGUUGGCCUCGUAAAAAGCCGCAAAAAAAUAGUCGCAAACGACGAAACCUACGCUUUAGCAGCUUAAUAACCUGCAUAGAGCCCUCUCUCCCUAGCCUCCGCUCUUAGGACGGGGAUCAAGAGAGGUCAAACCCAAAAGAGAUCGCGCGGAUGCCCUGCCUGGGGUUGAAGCGUUAAAACGAAUCAGGCUAGUCUGGUAGUGGCGUGUCCGUCCGCAGGUGCCAGGCGAAUGUAAAGACUGACUAAGCAUGUAGUACCGAGGAUGUAGGAAUUUCGGACGCGGGUUCAACUCCCGCCAGCUCCACCA